GACGAACGCUGGCGGCGUGCUUAACACAUGCAAGUCGAACGGAAAGGCCCCCAUCUUGGUGGGGGUGCUCGAGUGGCGAACGGGUGAGUAACACGUGGGUGAUCUGCCCUGUACUUCGGGAUAAGCUUGGGAAACUGGGUCUAAUACCGGAUAGGACCAUGGUUUAGUGUCUCAUGGUGGAAAGAUUAUUGUUUUGGUGCAGGAUGAGCUCGCGGCCUAUCAGCUUGUUGGUGGGGUAAUGGCCUACCAAGGCGUCGACGGGUAGCCGGCCUGAGAGGGUGGACGGCCACAUUGGGACUGAGAUACGGCCCAGACGCCUACGGGAGGAAGCAGUGGGGAAUAUUGCACAAUGGGCGCAAGCCUGAUGCAGCGACGCCGCGUGGGGGAUGACGGCCUUCGGGUUGUAAACUCCUUUCGUUAGGGACGAAGCCGCACUUUUUUUGGGUGUGGUGACGGUACCUUUGUUAAGAAGCACCGGCUAACUACGU
rnacentral:rRNA from 1 species